GUUCCACUGUUUGUUUUAGCCGACAGGUCGAACAUCGUCUAACCUCAAUGCCACAAUGUAUAUUUAAAUGCUUGAGUAAAUAAACGAUGACUACUAUAAAAGGUUAUGUUCGAAUUAAAGCACAACCGCUGUGCUUGGUAGAUAAGAAGCGGCGCAUUUGUGUUUAUUACAAUACAAUGUAAAAUUUUAAACUACAUUUCUCAUUUGUAAAGCCAGUGACUAGGGCCAUUAACACUUAUUUUGAAACCAAACAGCUGACGUCACGCUCAACAGUCGCGCGGAUUAAUUUUGCUGCGGCUUGGCUUCUUUCAAAACUGGAUAAAACUAGAAUGUGGUCGGAUCUACUUCUCGCUUGCUGCAAUGACACUCCUUUGUACCGUCGAAACAACAAAUAUUAAGCCAUCUCAUCAUUUUUUGUUUUGUUUUUAAAUUUGACAAAGACAGGCAAGAUGUAUUGUAUGUUUUGCGGCGUAUGCGACCACAUAAACAGACGCGCUGCAAUAUAAAUAUAUUUAAAUGUUGAUCCGCGCACACUGGUCGGACCAUUCAACAGGAACUUCAGAGUGGAAAAUUACCAGCUGUGGGAAGGGAGCAACGGUGCCAGUUACAACUGGUCAAACUCGUGUCCAGAAAAAAACCCCGCCGAGAACUCUGGCAAAUAUUAGACCAACCAACUUAUUUAUUGAAUACGUCGACCUGCAAUGAGCUGCACAUGUAUUUCUCUUUUUGACCCAGCGUUGUCACAAAGCUUAACAUCUGAGACACGCAUUCGGAGGUCACUCCUUAGUACAAACACCAUGGCGUUUUUAUUAUGAUACGUAUGAAAGUCUCACAUUUACGUAAACACAGUAUUAUCUCGCUAAAAUCAGGUACGUGUUAUGUUCACCCGCAUAGCACGGAAAAUCACCCAAUAUGGCUCCAAUGCCACGGGAGUUUAGCUGGAUGACCAACAGGGGGAGCAGCGUGACUCCAUGUGGCUCCCCUCCCACUCCCCAACUCCCACACGUGCUUCACGACCGACGACACAACACUAUCCUGGAUACCGGGCAAAUGUCCGGGCAAAACCCCUUCAUUUACAUAACUGCCCUCAUCACGAUUCAAUGCCCAGGGCAGGGAUCAAACACACCCUGGGUUUUCAGUCCUAUUCACAAUGAACGAAUUGAUCGAGUUGGCUGUUAAACAGGACGCAGUCAAUUCCAAUCGUCAAUUUGCACACAUUCACGUGACAACGAAGCCAAACAAAGGUCUUAUACUCGGAUUCACUUGCUAAUAGAGGUCUUUAAGAAGUAUAAACAUCUAUUUGGUUGUGUAAUAAUCUUAAAACACAAUUAGGUGCGAUGCAAUGAUUACAUCAGAAUCAGCAUGCUGGUUUGAUUUUGUUCAUGUCUUAUUUGGUAUUGUUAAACAUGUAUUAUUAUUUUUACCACAGACAUAUUUCAAAUAGUAGUUAUGCUCAGAAGUUAUGUGUUUCUCAAUGUACAUGCAACCCUAUUACCCCAAAAAUGUUUGGCCUGAAGAGGGGAAGAGAAAAAAGUGAGCUACAUGACUCAGCAAAAAUGACGUCAAACUUAUUGUUCUGUCCAUUGAUAGACCUAAGGCAAGUCCUUUGUAUUUUUCAUGUUUUUGUUUAGUUUGUUUUUUGUUUUUUUCAGUCGUAAUGGACGGACGGUGUCACCUACACCAAUGCAAACCCGCCAACAAUUUUAUAUUUUAUUUUUUAAGUAUUGCAUCUCUGCUUUUUGCAGAUGAUGUGGUUCUGUUGGCUUCAUCAAGCCGUGAUCUCCAACUCUCAUUGGAGCGGUUCGCAGCCGAGUGUGAAGCGGCUGGGAUGAGAAUCAGCACCUCAAAAUCUGAGACCGUGGUCCUCAGUCGGAAAAGGGUGGCGUGCCCUCUUCGGGUCGGGGAUGAGAUCCUGCCCCAAGGGGAGGUGUUCAAGUAUCUUGGGGUCUUGUUCACGAGUGAGGGAAGAAUGGAACAGGAGAUCCACAGGCGGAUCGGUGCAGCGUCUGCAGUGAUGAGGACUUUGUAUCGGUCUGUUGUGGUAAAGAAGGAGCUAAGCCUAAAGGCGAAGCUCUCGAUUUACCGGUCGAUCUACGUUCCUACCCUCACCUAUGGUCACGAGCUGUGGGUCGUGACCGAAAGAACAAGAUACCGGAUACAAGCGGCCGAAAUGAGUUUCCUCCGCAGGGUGUUCGGGCUCUCCCUUAGAGAUAUCAUAGCUAAGUUUGUUCUUGACCAGUAGGUACAGCAGCUAACACAGCAUGUAUUCUUGAGGAAAAACUUUUGACAUUGGCAUUGAUUUGGAGUAAUACGUGAAUAAAUACAUUUUAAAAUACAAUCUAACUUUUUAAAAAUUGUAUGAUAUUAGUUGUUUUUCUGGUGCCUGAGCAACACCUUUGCACCAAACACAACAAAAUGAUAAAUAAAGUGUACCAUUGAGGUACGGUGGACGAUUGGUUACAAUAUCUGCCUCGUAGUUCAGAAGACCCAGGUUCACAUCUGGCCUCGGCUGUGUGGAGUUUGCAUGUUCUCCCCGUGCCUGUGUGGGUUUUCUCCGGGCACUCCGGUUUCCUCCCACAUCCCAAAAACAUGCAUUUUAGGUUGUUUGAAAACUCUAAAUUUCCCGUAGGUGUGAGUGAUUGUUUAUAUGGGGCCUGAGAUUGGCUGGCGACCAUUUCAGGGUGUAGCCCGCCUCCCGCCCAAAGUUGGCUGGGAUAGGCUGCAGCACCCCCGUGACCCUAGUGAGGACAAGCGGUAUGGAAAAUGGAUGGAUGGAAGAUGUAGCAUUAAUGGUUGAGCUGGAAAAAUUAAAUUAUAUCAUGGUUUAUCACCUGUUUUUCUUGAAAACACAAAAAAUACAAGAUAAAUCAUCAAUUUUGGAAAAAUGGUGCCUAAAUUGUCCAGCAAUUUUGGAAUGACCCUUAUUCACUGAAAAAUAGGUCCUUUGAAUUUACUUAAUUCGAACACGUACAUCAGUUGCACAUGAUUAAAAUGUGUUAAACUAACAUAUAUUAUUUAAUUAUUUUUGAGGGAAAGAUGGGAACGUUACAUCAGUUUACCACAUUUUAAUCGCAUAUGCAACUGAAAUUAAAGACUUUUUUCCAGUGUUAUCUGAUGGCAGCCAAAUACAUUAUAGCCAACCAUGGUUUAUAGCCCGAGGCUAUUCCAUCCCCCACUUCUUAGCAAAUGUGGUUGUGUAGUUUAGUAUGGAACUCUGACAUUAAUGUAGUGGUUUUAAACAAUAAUAGCAAUACCUAAAAUAAAUGUGACUAAGGUGUGUGCUACCUAGUUACAGACAUGUUGAUAAAAAGCAAGUUACAUCAUUCCACUUACAGAACCCCAGUGCGGUAUAGAUCAUUUUUCCAAAUGUCCAACUUUGAUUAUCUCUUCGAUUGAGCACUCUCUUUCAGCCAAUCAAUUGAGCUCCCAGUUACAUCAGGCAUGACAUAAAAUCAGGCCACCAUGCAUGAAGAAUUUCCACCAUGUGUGUUCAAAAGCUGUUAUUCCAUUCCUCUGCUGCCAGAUGAUGGAGACAAACCUAUCUGAAGUAGGUAGACAUACAAUACAACAAAUUUGGCCUUUACUAAAACACCCAUAGUGCUAGAGCAUUAGGGUUGGAACGCUCCAGAUGAUCCCAUCUGGUCUGAAGCAAAGAUUUGCAGCUGACAAACAGGUUGCCGUCAGAGAUAACAGUAGUGAGAAACUGGAGCUUCAGAGCAGCAGAAACACAGAUCACCAUCAGUGGCCUCUAUAUAGACAACUCAAUCAAGGUGACAUCGAUAACCUACCACCAGGGUAGAGACAGGUAAUGGAGAAGUUUUUUAGGCCUGUUCCUAGCCCCUCUGACCUGGCUGAGAUGAAUCUGCGGAAGCUCCACCAUCAUCGGCAUCACGAAGACCCAGAGUCACACAGGUUUGCACUGUCUGAUGAUGCUGAUAUAAAUUCAGAUGAAAACCAAAGCAACCGCCGACAGGUUCACUAUUUCCAUGACAACCCUCAAAACGAUACCCACCCUCGCCAUCAAAUUCACAAAACUCCUCACCACAAAGAGGAUGAAAUACUGUACAACCACGGCACUCCUGUAACUUUAUCGAGAGCUUCAUCCUCUUCCCUUUCCUCAUCCUCUUCCAUCUCCUCGUCGUCCUGGUUUACAGAAGGAAGUGUAAACGAUCCUUUCUCUCUCCGCCACGCCGAGCGUCCACAGCAUUCUUUGUCCUGCUCCAAUAUUGCAGAUGUACGCAGGGCUUUCCGGGAAGAUGACAACAGUGAGCCUAUUGUCUUUGCCACCGUUAUGCAUGGCGGCAAUGGCACUGGUGGUCCCGCACAUGGCAGCACGAAACGGAGACAGAGGGGUGUUUUUUCAUCACUUGACCGAAGUCAUAGCAGAAGUGAGCAGGGCCUUCUGAAGAGUAAUGAAGGCCAUGAUGGCAGAAAACAAUCCAAGGCACCAAAUAGUGGGAAUCUGUACAAGACCUCUUGUUUGAAUCGAAGCCUGACUUUCAGUGAUGAAGACUUUUUGUUAGGAAAUUAUAGGGGCCCAAAGAGAGCAGUGUCAUCCAGCCAGCUUCCCAGCAAAGGAAUCCUGAAGAACAAGGACCCUCAUGCUGACAUACGCAAAGCUAAAUCGAUGGAGGUGAUAUCACCAAGAGUUGGCAAACAACAGCAUCCCAGUGCCAGUGGCCAGAAGGGGAAAGGGAUCGACCAAGCUGAGAUGGAGCGAGUGAGGGAAAAUUUCCUGCAGGGAAAGUUGCAAUUCUCAGCUUUCCUGGAUGAGAUAACAAAACAGGUAAUAAGUCCAUCGUAUCUAACUAUACUGGGUGUGAACAAUGAAAAAGUGACCAGCAAGACCUGUGCACCAGCUCAAACACUUGACCCAGUCAAACCUGCACUUCCACCUAAGAAGCAUAGGAAAAGUUCUGGCGGGGAGACUGAACAGUUUCCUAAACAACACAACAAGCAGGAAAAAAGUACUCGUGGCAUCUUGCAAAAACAUUCAGACAGCUCCAAUCCGGACAAAUUGAUUUCAUAUGCAACGAGGAACCACCAUGGUAGCCCCCCGCCUCAUCAGUACGCCUACUCCCGCAGUCGUAAUGCUCACCAUGGAAGCAGCCGUAAAGACAAAAGACUGUCACCCAUUGGUGGCUCUCUGUCAGAGGAUAGGUAUGGCAGAUGUGGCUCCCACCUAACAGACGGAACCAGCACCAGCCCUGAACUGAGCCAGCCCAAAAUGCGGCACCACUGCAAUCAGCAGACCCAUACCAUCUACAGUCCACAUACCCAGGACUUAUCUCAGCCCCAUCCUCAGCAUGCACACACUAGUGCAAGCCAACAAGGGCCAAAGACUUCAGCUCGAGGUGCAAGAAUAGGCUUCGGAUCAGAGUCUUCAUCCAAUAAGUCAGACUCAUCUAGGACCCGAGACACAGCCUCCACAACUACCAGUCACAGUUCAGAGCAGAGUGAGAGACAUCAUUCAGAGCAUGUGGGCAACUCAAAACAAUGCAGAGACAGACUGUGUGAUGCUGAGCAGCUUCAGGUGCUACAGGAAGAGAAUGCUGAUCUUCACCAGAACUUGCUGCAGACGGUGGUCUGCAUUGAAAGCCUGGAGUCUGAGCUGCAGAGGACCAGGGAUGAGCUCACUCAUGUCAAAGACAAAUACAAAAGCCUCCUGGAGACACACACUGGAACCAGGCAGGGUAAUAAUCUGCUGGGGGAGCACUUGCACAUUGCGUCGGAGAGUACAAGCAGUGAAAGGAAGCACCUUCUCAAUCGAGUGUCCCAGCUGAGCUCGGAGCUGGAGGGCGCUCACAGGACCAUCGCUGGGCUGGAGAACAUCAACCUGCCGUGCCUGAUAAAGGAUUUAUUGGAGAAGCACUUCAACUCACCUGAGGCUGUGCAUACGUUUCUGACACCUUCUGCUGUUGACAGCAACUCUGCCAGCUCUCCAUCAGCACUCAAGCUCCCCCACGCUCCUAAAUCAGAGGAAGCGGCACACGACUGGUUAACAGAAUCAGAGAGUGCCACAGCUUUUGUCCCCUUCAAACAGGAAGUACCCAAAACAGGAGUUCAAAUCUCCAUCCAAAGUCCACUUGAGUCCAGCAACAGCCUGCCUUUCUCAGUGGACGACAUCAGCACGGCCAUUUAUCAGAAAAUAGUAGCCAAUUACACUGGCAAACCACAAACCUAUCAACAGCAGUCCUCUCUGGGUAUAAAAUACACUGGCAGCCCUCUGAAGCCUCAACAGCUCCACAGAGCUGACCGCUUGGGUGAAAAGGAAGAGGUAUUGGUGACACUUUUGGAGCAGGAUGCUGUGAAUGUGACCUCCAUGUCUGCCCAGCAGAUCCUAGAUGAGUUCAUGCAACAACUGCACACCCAUGAGCGGGUGGGUGAAGGGAAGGAGCAGGAGUAGUAGGUGGAGGGAGCAGAGCAAAGUGGUACAGUGGGCAGAGUGACAAGAGCGAUAACAACACGGGAUGAAUGUGACUGUAAUUUUGUUGCAGGAAACAAUGUAGUCGAACAUUUGUGUUUAUGUUUCAUUCGUCUUGAAAAUUUCAAUGGAUUAUAUUGCAGGGUCGUGGGUAUUGUAUUACUUUGACGGUGUAUGAUGUAUUAGUUGUUAUAAUUGAACAGAAUCAGACAAGGUUUGGCUGAUGAGCCAAUUAUCACCCUGCACAGUGUGAUUCAUUUAUACCUCCUCAAGCAACUUUUUCGUAAGUCCAUAAUAUUACUAAAAAAGACUAAAAAAAUAAUUAGCUAUUAUUUGCAAAUAAUCUAUUUUGAAAAUAAUGUAAUAUAUUUAUUAUAAUUAUAAUAUAAUUACCAUUAUAAAUAUUUACAGCUUAGUGUAGUUAUUUCUUAUUAUUGUGGUGUAGAAUUGUGAAAAAUAACGCUGAUGGAAUUGGAAUUGGAAAUGUAAUACUGAAUGUAUUCCUUGCGGUUUAUGUCAAUUAUAAUAUGUUAGAAAAAGUGAAGAAAAUGGAAAUUAAAGGGGAUGUUUGCAAUUAAAAAAAAAACUUGUCAAAACUGUCAGUAUGACUUGACAGUACAUGACAGGGGCUCAGGUUUAAUGGAUUGGUUGGUGGAUUUUAGGGGGGGGGGAAAAAGACAUUCCCCAAAUUUUGGCAGGCCUUAAGACAUUUUUAGUGAGGCUUCAGCCCCCCUAAAGUAGGCCUAGCGAUGCCAGUGGUACAUGAGUAAAAUUAUCUGUUAAAAAUGAGCCCACUCUAGCCUGAUCUUGUACUUCUCAUUUGAUUUGCAUGGCUGAGGAAAAACAAUCCAUCAGCGACAGAAGGUGUGACUGAUGAGGUGUCAAUCAUUUCCUGUGCACUUGCGAGAAGCAAAUCAGUUUACUCAUGUACUAUUGUCAGGUCGUACUGACAGUUUUAAUAAAUAUGACGAAAAGUGGUUUUGUUUUAACUUGAAAACUCCCCUUUAAUGAUCGUGUCUAUGCAAAUAUGUGUGUACAUACGAUAUUGUGUUUUUUUUGGUUUGUGUGGAUGAGGAAUUGUAUUAAUGUUAUUUGAAUCUGCCCCCCCCCCCCCCCCCCCCAAUCCUGAUUUGUCAACGUCAAUACUCUGCAUGUCAGCUCAGCAAUAUGUUUAUCCUGUGCAGGAUCACAGUGAGUGUGGGUGAGACCGUUCCAACAAUGACACUUGAUGAGAGCUAUCCAGUCUAUUGCGAGACCGACAUAUGGAGACACGACUACAAACAUAGGGUAAUUUCAGAAUCUCCAUUUAGCCAAACUUGCAUAACUUGGAACAUCCGUGAAGGCCCAGGUCCACUGUGCCACCUCACGCUAACUGAAGUUGUCGUAAAUACUUAUCAUAACAAUUUAAUCCAAUUGAUCCUCCUCCAUGCACUAUGUAGCUCUCACACGCAUCAUACACACUAUGCAGUCUCUAACGGAAUGAUCGACGACUGGUUAGGCGGAAUGGUGAACGACUGGUGAGCACAUCCGCCUCACAGUUCUGAGGACCGGGGUUCAAAUCCCGGCUCCGACUGUGUGGAGUUUGCAUGUUCUCCCCAUGCCUGCGAGGGUUUUCUCCGGGUACUCCGGUUUCCUCCCACAUCCCAAAAACAUGCAUGGUAGGUUGAUUGAAGACUCUAAAUUGCCCGUAGGUGUGAAUGUGAGUGUGAAUGGUUGUUUGUAUAUAUGUGCCCUGCGAUUGGCUGGCGACCAGUUCAGGGUGUACCCCGCCUCUUGCUUGAAGAUAGCUGGGAUAGGCUCCGGCACGCCCGCGACCCUAGUGAGGAGAAGCGGUACAGAAAAUGGAUGGAUGGAUUGAUAUUCUACACUGUUUUGGGUCCUCUUUUGGGUUGCGGGUGAGCCGGAGCCUAUUCCAGCUGAGUUUGGUCGAGAGGCGGGGUGUGUAGUGACUGUUUCAACUUAAAGGAGUUUCUAAUAUUUUGUCUAUUCCAAAGUGGCCAAAAUGUAAAACAACAACAACAACAACAACAACAACCAAACCAUACCAUUUUUCAUACCAGUAUACCAAUCAAAAUGGCACAUUAUCACUGAAAAGCUUAAUGGAUGACAGAACUGUUAAAUCAGAUCUUUAGGGAUGUAUUGGGCAGAUUUUACUUGAACUAGCACUUUUCCGUAGAUCACAUGACCAGGGGUGCUGUAAGGGGGUCUAAAUUGAUGAUGAUGCUAAAGCCCCCCCGCACAUGACGCAUGAGGUACAGCCAUGUUUCUUCCGGUUGCGUGAGCACCCACAGUGUAUGAUAUGAAUGUCAGGUGACUAAAACUGUCAU